GCGGGCGCGGGGCGGGGCCGGGGCGGGCGCGGGGCGGGGCCGGGGCGGGCGCGGGGCGGCCCCGGCAGCGGGGAUGGCGGCGGCGGCGGCCGGGUGAGGGGCCGCGGCUGGCAGCGCCGAGCCCGCCGGCACCGGCUGGGGACAGGGACAGAGCGCCGGCCCCGCGGGCUCUGGUGCUCUGUCUGAUUAGCAGUUGCUGCUGUGACGUGGCAGGAGCGGCCCCUGGGCUCCAGCAGCCCUUCAAACCCCAGGGAAGCAGCUCUGGCUAAUGAUAUUUCCAGAAAGUGCCUCGAGGAAGCUUCCUUAUGUAGAAAAACCCCACAAGAAACACAGUGUGUGCUUCCUGGCAGCU
rnacentral:lncRNA from 1 species